ensembl:lncRNA
GGGUGUUUAUUAAAAAUGCAGGUGAUUCUGAUUCAGUAUUUCCAGGGUGGGUCUGGGAGCUGCCUUCUUAACAGGCUUCCAGGUGGUUCUGAUGCAGGUGGCUUCAGAAUCACUCCUUUGGAGAUGCUACUGUAAUGGCUGGAUGGAUAAUGGACUAGAGAGGGAAGAGCUCAGAGGCUGCAAGACCUGUUGGUAGGCUGACGCAGCAGCACACGCGGUCGAAGGUAAACGCAUCUGUUGAUGAUUAACAGCAGUGUUUCAAAGCUCCCGGGAGAGAGGAUGGAUAUGAUGGAGUCAGACACCUCUAGUUUUAAUUCUAUCGCUUAUACCUGUCACUUUGAUCCUGUUUUCUAGCACUUUCUGGGUCUGAAGGUGAUGAUUGGCCGAAAGGCAGAGGAAGUAGCAACAGGAGAGGCAGAGCAUCAAAUGCGGCAGAGAAUGAGGAGCCCUCAGGAGAGAUGGCUCGGUAGGACACACAGGUGGAAAAAAUGGGAAACUCCAUCUGCCAAAAUAUCAGAACCAAGAAUAUUUGAUACAUCUACACGUGGAAUUGAAAUGGCCUCUCUCUACCUGCUGUGCGCAUGGGACCUCUACACCUGUUCAGUCACGAAACCACUAAUGAGGCCUCUCCUGUCCUAUUCAGGAUUUUGACGGAAUAUGAAAUCUCAUUACCCAGAGUCAAUGAAUGACAUCUGUUCCCGAUCCCCCUCCUGAAGCCAUCAUUCCAGCCGCUCGGUGCUGUGAGAAAGGUGUGCCACUCAGAGAGAGAAUUAGAGUCCAGGAAAGAAGGUGUCCCUCCCGUGCCCAGCCAGAAGGCAGAUAGAGCUUUCCAACAUCCUCACCCCAUUUAGGCCUUUGUCUUAAAAGGAUUAGCACGAAACGAAACUUCAUUAUUUCAGACUUAAAAGUAUUUCUUACUAUUUGCCUCUGAAACAAGUCAAAACCUGGAAAUGUGGCGUUUUCUUAAUAAAGAAGAUAAGGAAGAUGUUAAUCUGUAAACAUCCAGCUAAAUGGAUAAAAGCUGGAAUUGGUUAAAUGUUAAAUUGAUUUAAAGUGGGUAUGAUAUAAAGGUUAUUUACAUAGUUUGGCCCCUCUCAAAUCCUUCUUUUGGAAAGAGGAGGGCUAUAAAUAACUGCACAUGAAUAUAAUAAUAUAUACCAUAAAAUUUUUAUUAAGGAGUAUUCAUGCAUAGUAAUAUACGUGUAUUACAAAAUCAGUAUAAAAUACCACAGAGCUACUCUAAAGCAUUUCAUCGUUUUCAUUCAUUCAUUUCUGAAAGUGGUCACUAAACAAGCAAUUCUCGAGUAUCUGUUACGUGUCAGGCACUAUAGUUGCUGCUGUGGAUACAAAGAUGAGUAAGAGCCCCAUGUUUAGCAGAGGAGACAUGAUAAGGUAAAUCACUGUAGGCUUUGUGGUAAGUCCUACAGCAGAUGGGUUGGAGGGAUGGGAUCAUCCUUCCCUGAGUCAUGAAGCCUUCAUGGGGGAGGAAACGUGAGCUGGGACCUUAGGGUGGCCAGAAGACACGGGCAGCAGGCCAUUCAAGGUGGAGGGAGCAA